rnacentral:rRNA from 1 species
UCGAGGAUCUUCGGCAAUGGGGGCAACCCUGACCGAGCGACGCCGCGUGUGCGACGAAGGCCUUCGGGUUGUAAAGCACUGUCGAGGGGGAGGAAAGCCCGCAAGGGUGUGACCCAUCCCUGGAGGAAGCACGGGCUAAGUUCGUGCCAGCAGCCGCGGUAAGACGAACCGUGCGAACGUUGUUCGGAAUCACUGGGCUUAAAGGGCGCGUAGGCGGGCCGCCGCGUCCGGGGUGAAAUCCUCCCGCUCAACGGGAGAACGGCCUCGGAUACGGGCGGCCUGGAGGGGGGUAGGGGCACGCGGAACUGUGGGUGGAGCGGUGAAAUGCGUUGAGAUCCACAGGAACUCCGGUGGCGAAGGCGGCGUGCUGGACCCCACCUGACGCUGAGGCGCGAAAGCCAGGGGAGCGAACG